UCCGGUUUGUCACCGGCAGUCUCAUUAGAGUGCCCUUUCGUAGCAACUAAUGACAAGGGUUGCGCUCGUUGCGGGACUUAACCCAACAUCUCACGACACGAGCUGACGACAGCCAUGCAGCACCUGUGUUCCCGCCAGCCGAACUGAAGAGAUCCUUCUCUGGAUCUCAUACGGGACAUGUCAAGGGCUGGUAAGGUUCUUCGCGUUGCUUCGAAUUAAGCCACAUGCUCCACCGCUUGUGUGAGCCCCCGUCAAUUCCUUUGAGUUUUAGUCUUGCGACCGUACUUCCCAGGCGGGGAACUUAGUGCGUUAGCGCCGGUUCGGCGGGGGUCAAGACCCACCAAACCUAGUUCCCAUCGUUUACAGCGUGGACUAC
rnacentral:misc_RNA from 1 species